UACGAAGGGGGCUAGCGUUGUUCGGAAUUACUGGGCGUAAAGGGCGCGUAGGCGGCCCUGCACGUCAGGCGUGAAAGCCCCGGGCUUAACCUGGGAAUGGCGCUUGACACGGCAGGGCUUGAGGUCGAGAGAGGGUGGUGGAAUUCCCAGUGUAGAGGUGAAAUUCGUAGAUAUUGGGAGGAGCACCGGUGGCGAAGGCGGCCACCUGGCUCGUACCUGACGCUGAGGCGCGAAAGCGUGGGGAGCAAACAGG
rnacentral:rRNA from 1 species